UAACCACAGAUCUAUAGGUUCGUUAUCUCCGUCGAAACCAUGUCUAACCCGACGGAUUUCCACUACCCGGCCAGAAUAUCCACCACGGGUAACACCAGUGUAUUCUUGGACGUAGACGAUUUCCUAUAACCCCUAAGCAUCUCGAUCCAAAAUCCAUUUAUCAGAAAAGCAAACGAGCUCUUGAGAAUAAGGGUUACCAUAGUCAUUUGUCACUACGGCUGUACGGGGAUAAUAGUAUUCUCUCUGGGAAAGAUAUGAUGGAUAAAUAUGCUGAAGCUGGAAUCAAAAUCUGACUCGUAUCCGAAGUUGAAGGAGUUACGUAUACGAGAGGUGAUUUGAUGCUAUUGGACAGUUAUCUAUGGGCAUUGAACAAUCCUGGAGAAUCGAAUUUGAUGCUAUACUCUCAAAAGACAUCAAACAAGACACAUGGGGGAUGAGGUUACUUACAUUUUUGCAUAGGAAUGAUUGCUAUAUUCUCUUAGGGGAGCCUUUAUCAGAGUUUACAGUUCCUUCUGAUAGUGCUGAAUGGAUUUGGAAAAGCCUAUCAGAUUGAGGAAACCCUAGCUUACCCAAAGCUAAUAGCAUCUUUGUAAUCUACUUAAGUGGAAGUAAGCAAAUGUUAAGAUGCUUUAGUAAAAUUAUAUAGACAACGGUUGUACUCCUGAAGAUUUACUUGAACAAAAUUGA